UACGUAGGGGGCAAGCGUUGUCCGGAAUGAUUGGGCGUAAAGGGCGCGUAGGCGGCCUGUUAAGUCUGGAGUGAAAGUCCUGCUUUUAAGGUGGGAAUUGCUUUGGAAGCUGGCGGGCUGGAGUGCAGGAGAGGUUAGUGGAAUUCCCGGUGUAGCGGUGAAAUGCGUAGAGAUCGGGAGGAACACCAGUGGCGAAGGCGACUAACUGGACUGUAACUGACGCUGAAGCGCGAAAGUGUGGGGAGAAAACAGG
rnacentral:rRNA from 1 species